GGGGUUGUAGCUCAGUGGUAGAGAGUGCUUGCCUUUUAAGCGUGAGGCCCUGGAGUUCGAUCCUCAGCACCA
rnacentral:tRNA from 1 species